GACGAACGCUGGCGGCGUGCUUAACACAUGCAAGUCGAACGGUAAGGCCCUUCGGGGUACACGAGUGGCGAACGGGUGAGUAACACGUGGGCGAUCUGCCCUGCACUUCGGGAUAAGCCUGGGAAACUGGGUCUAAUACCGGAUAGGACCACUGCCUGCAUGGGUGGUGGUGGAAAGCUUUUGCGGUGUGGGAUGGGCCCGCGGCCUAUCAGCUUGUUGGUGGGGUGAUGGCCUACCAAGGCGACGACGGGUAGCCGGCCUGAGAGGGUGACCGGCCACACUGGGACUGAGAUACGGCCCAGACUCCUACGGGAGGCAGCAGUGGGGAAUAUUGCACAAUGGGCGCAAGCCUGAUGCAGCGACGCCGCGUGAGGGAUGACGGCCUUCGGGUUGUAAACCUCUUUCAGCACUGACGAAGCGCAAGUGACGGUAGGUGCAGAAGAAGGACCGGCUAACUACGUGCCAGCCGCCGCGGUAA
rnacentral:rRNA from 1 species